rnacentral:rRNA from 1 species
GUGGAUUAGAUACCCUAGUAGUCCACGCCGUAAACGUUGGGCACUAGGUGUGGGUCUCAACCAACGGGAUCCGUGCCGUAGCUAACGCACUAAGUGCCCCGCCUGGGGAGUACGGCCGCAAGGCUAAAACUCAAAGGAAUUGACGGGGGCCCGCACAAGCGGCGGAGCAUGUUGCUUAAUUCGAGGCAACGCGAAGAACCUUACCUGGGUUUGACAUGUAGGGAAAAGCCGUAGAGAUACGGUGUCCUUCGGGGUCCUACACAGGUGGUGCAUGGCCGUCGCCAACU